rnacentral:rRNA from 1 species
GAUGAACGCUAGCGGCAGGCCUAACACAUGCAAGUCGAGGGAGAGGUUAUCUUCGGGUAACCAAAACCGGCGCACGGGUGCGUAACGCGUAUACAAUCUGCCUUUCACAUAGGGAUAGCCCGAAGAAAUUUGGAUUAAUACCUAAUGGUAUAUAGGAGCGGCAUCGUUUUUAUAUUAAAGCUACGGUGGUGAAAGAUGAGUAUGCGUUCUAUUAGCUAGUUGGAGAGGUAACGGCUCCCCAAGGCGACGAUAGAUAGGGGUUCUGAGAGGGAUGUCCCCCACACUGGUACUGAGAUACGGACCAGACUCCUACGGGAGGCAGCAGUGAGGAAUAUUGGACAAUGGUCGGAAGACUGAUCCAGCCAUGCCGCGUGCAGGAUGAAGGUCCUAUGGAUUGUAAACUGCUUUUGUAAGGGAAGAAUAAGGAGUACGUGUACUUUGAUGACGGUACCUUACGAAUAAGCAUCGGCUAACUCCGUGCCAGCAGCCGCGGUAAUACGGAGGAUGCGAGCGUUAUCCGGAAUCAUUGGGUUUAAAGGGUCCGUAGGCGGGCUGAUAAGUCAGAGGUGAAAGCGCUUAGCUCAACUAAGCAACUGCCUUUGAAACUGUCAGUCUUGAAUGAUUGUGAAGUAGUUGGAAUGUGUAGUGUAGCGGUGAAAUGCUUAGAUAUUACACAGAACACCGAUAGCGAAAGCAUAUUACUAACAAUUUAUUGACGCUGAUGGACGAAAGCGUGGGGAGCGAACAGG